UUCUCAUAUGUCCUUCUUUCUGGAGAAGUACCCGGGCCUGAAAGAGGAACUAAAGAGGAUGUGGAAAGUGAAGGUCAAAGUGGUCCCAGUGAUGGUAGGAGCACUCGGGGCUGUGACUCCUAAGCUGGGUGAGUGGCUCCAACAGAUCCCA